GGGGAAGGCGAGUUCUACAACAUAUAGGUCAGUUUUCCUGUGGAGUCCUGAAGGGGUGAGAACUUGGAAAGAAAUUACCAACCAACAACAACAAGAACAUAAAACUAGCAAAUAUAGCUUUAGCUAUCUAAAAUCCUUUUAAGAAUAGAAAGGAAAGGUUUUAGCCAGAGCUGAUCUAUUUUGCCCACAACAGCAGCAAACAGAUUUUCCACGACAGAAGACAUAUCUAAAGAAUAUCAAUUAAAAUAUCACCUUACUUCACUAACACAUCACAUAAUUUCUUUUUGCCAACCAUGUAGCAACUAAGCUACCUUGAGAGGAGGAUAAAAGCUCAAACUAUGGCAUCUGAUGUUACUGCCAACCAUGUAGCAACUUAGCUAUGUUGAGAGGAGGAGGAUAAUACCUCAAGUAUGGCAUCUGAUUUUAGUGCCUAGCAAUGCAAUCAGUGGCGAAUAUAGGAUUUCUAGAACAUGGGUGCAUCACUAAAAAGAGGAAAAAAUGUAUUUAAUGAGAAUUGAUCCCUAGGUAAAUAACUCAACAUUCAACCAAGUGCAGUUAGUCCAUGGGUUCCAGCAGAUGAUAUUAAACUAAUUUUUGAAAAUAUAUGCAUGCAUAAAAUGCUUAGUUUUACGAAGAGACCACAAUUCACAUGCCCCAAUAUUUGCCUAUGAAUUCUCCUUUUGAAUGCAAACUAAACAAAACUACGGAGCUUAAAUAUUUCUUUGUGCAAUGACAUCUUAACCUACUGUUAAUGGAUUCCAUGUUAUCUUUUAUACUAGAACACUUCUG
rnacentral:misc_RNA from 1 species